rnacentral:rRNA from 1 species
GGGCAGCUAGCCAGUGAUGGCAUGCGAAUCUCGAAAGCCUAUCUCAGUUCGGAUUGGAGGCUGAAACCCGCCUCCAUGAAGUUGGAUUCGCUAGUAAUCGCGCAUCAGCCAUGGCGCGGUGAAUACGUUCCCGGGCCUUGUACACACCGCCCGUCAAGCCAUGGGAGCCGGGGGUGCCUGAAGUUCGUUACCGUAAGGAUCGACCUAGGGCAAAACUGGUGACUGGGGCUAAGUCGUAACAAGGUAUC